GAUGAACGCUGGCGGCGUGCUUAACACAUGCAAGUCGAACGGUGAAGGCGGAGCUUGCUCUGCUGGAUCAGUGGCGAACGGGUGAGUAACACGUGAGCAAUCUGCCCCUGACUCUGGGAUAAGCGCUGGAAACGGCGUCUAAUACUGGAUACGAGCUGCGAAGGCAUCUUCAGCAGCUGGAAAGAAUUUCGGUCAGGGAUGAGCUCGCGGCCUAUCAGCUUGUUGGUGAGGUAAUGGCUCACCAAGGCGUCGAAGGGUAGCCGGCCUGAGAGGGUGACCGGCCACACUGGGACUGAGACACGGCCCAGACUCCUACGGGAGGCAGCAGUGGGGAAUAGUGCACAAUGGGCGAAAGCCUGAUGCAGCAACGCCGCGUGAGGGACGACGGCCUCCGGGUUGUAAACCUCUUUUAGCAGGGAAGAAGCGAAAGUGACGGUACCUGCAGAAAAAGCGCCGGCUAACUACGUG
rnacentral:rRNA from 1 species